rnacentral:lncRNA from 1 species
CACAGCCAAGGAGGCAUUUUCCUAGGUGAGGCCAUAACAUUAAUAUUCAAGAACCUGUCCCGGUUUCUUUCCUUUUUCCCAUUUUAUAAAGAUCCUACAUUCCAAAGCAUGAAAUUCGCAUUUUAUAAUUCAUCUUUUGGCGAACCUUCGGUAUAGGUACCGGAAGUGGCUUUGUUUACAUUUCUGAAGAUAACAGAAACCCUUUUCUCCCACCCCCAACUCCUUAUAUACUCUUUUACUUGUUUCAGUCAUUUGACUGCGGCCAUGCUGGAGCACCGCCUUUAAUCGAGCAACUCGACCCCGGGACUUAUUCUUUUGUAAGCCCAGUACUUAUUCUAUCGGUCGCUUUUUUUCCAAAACCGCUAAGUAACGGGACAUAAACACACCAGCAUCGGUUGUCAAGCAAUGCUAGGGGGAAACACAGACACAUAUAUACGACAGGCUUCUUUCAGUUUCCGUCUACCAAAUCCACUCACAAGGCAUUGGUCGGCCCGGGGCUAUAGCAGAAGACACUUGCCCAAGGUGCCAUGCAGUGGGACUGAACCAUGUUCAUUGGACGGAGGGGGUUGUUUUGCUCGUAUAUAUAUAUAUGUCAUAAUUUAGAAGAAACAGUAAGAAGUUGUCAUGGUAUUCAGAGUCUCAAAUGUCAAAGCUAUGUAGGGGUCAUUCAAAGCAACGAUUAGUAAAUCUACAAAACCAGUAUGCCUUUGAAUCUCUUUAACAAUAACGACUUUCAUUCCCACCUCAGUUCAUCUGAUUGUAUACAUCUAUCGUUCUGUGCAGUUUCCUCUUAUUUCCCCUUGCAUUUCCACAUGUAGUUUCUAUAUAAACUAGCAGUAUCGAUCGGGUUUGUUUUGACCCUUUAGAAUUGGAAUUUUUGAAAAGUAAAAAUUUUGCAUUAUGUAGCUUGUUAUUCUCUUUAAGUGAACAUUUUUCUGGUUGAAAUACACCGAAAAAUGGCGACACAGCAGUCAAAAAAUAGUGAUUUUUAUAGGAAAAAAAAAAGCACCUUUUUGAUGUUAACAAGGUCCAAUUUGAGUUUUUGUCUUCUAUGGGAGGAAGAGCAAGGCUUCUUCCAUCAUACUCUGAAUUUUGGACGACUUGUGCCACAGGGUAUAUAUUGCUAUAUUUCGGAAUGGUCAUUUUGCCAAUAAAAGCACACGCACCAUAUAUUUGGUGUUACAUUGCAGUGUUAUUUUUUAUAUUAAUCUUAUUUCGGCCAGAGUUCUUUCGUCACACUCUUGUGACCACAUCAGUGGUCCUUUGUUUUCUUGUGUGUCUCUCGUUCAUGUGUUUACAUCCGUAUGUAUAACAUCCGUAUGUAUAACAACAAUAAAUUAUAUAUUUGUUUAUAUUGUAACCAGUCUGUGGGGAUCCUCUACCAUCAUAUGUUGUGGUGGGUGCUAGUGUUCCAUUGCAGUUUGCUAUUCAGGCCAGGUUCAUCUUCUAUUAUGUGUGUAGAAUAUUUUAAUUUCUAUGUUGUUGACUGAUCCCCCGUGUUGGUACAGAAUCGAUGAGCCUUUACCUUCCUUGAGUUGUCUCCAAUGUCCAUUUAUCCACUCUUCUAUGAACAUUAACACAUCGGUUGUCAAGCAAUGCUAGGAGGAGAAACACACACGCAUAUAUGCUACGGGCUUCAUUCAGUUUCCAUCUACCGAAUCCACUCACAAGGCUAUAGUAGAAGACACGUGCCAUGCGGUUGGUAAACAAGCUACUUACCACUCCUAUAUAUAUAUACACUUAACAAGAGCUGGCAAGUCAGAGAACUGCCCCAAGUUCCAUUGUUGUUUUGGCAGGUUUUCUUAUGGCUUCCAUCAUUUCGGGGGUGAUAAAUUAAGUACUAGUGAAACAGUUGAGUCGAAUUAUCCCCCAAAAUAGCUGCCCUUGCAGCAGAAUUAUUAGCAUGCCAGGUGAAAUGGUUAGCAGUGUUCAUACUCCACCAAGGUCAGCUUUGCUCCCCAUCCUCUUUGGGUCAAUGAAAUCGACUAUCCCCCCAAAUUUUCAGGGCCUUGUGCUUAGAGUAGGAAUCAUUAUUAUAGCAGCAAGCUGGCAGAAUUUUGUAACUCACCACACAAUCCAGGCCUUGUACCUAGAGUAGAAAGGUUUAUAAUAAUAUUAUUGCCCUAAUGUAAUUUUAAAUAAGCCCUUGUAGCCAAUAAACAAAUUAAUUAUUAUUAAUGUUGCAAGAUCAGAGACUGCUGAGGUUGACGAAGAUAAACACCAGUGAAACAUUGGGGUUGAUGUAAUUGAGUAGACCCUGUCGUUUCUAUAGCUGGGUGCUCAAUGAUGCCAAUCAUUGACUGACAUAGUAACCUCACCCACCUUAUUUAAAACUAUUACUACUAUUCAGUAGCCUGCUUUCACUAUACUACCGAGCGCAGCUCUGUGUAUGUACUGUGAUGCUCCUUUGGUUACUGUAUUGAAAGUGUUUUGCGUAGGAUGUGGGCAGUGCUAGUUUCUGUUACGUAUUUGUCUGAAGUUCUUUCUUAUCAAACCUAAUGUCCUUACUAUAAUGGGAAUUGUUUCUGUAUUUAGGCUCUACAUUCAAGUUACCUCAGCAGUCUUACCUUUAUCACAUGCUUUCACUAUACUACUGACCGCAGCUCUGUGUACAUUGGUGCUAUAAACUUUACUGUAUAGACCUCCUCUCGGUGGGUUUUCAACCAGUACAGUCCGGAGGUUUUGCAAGAAGCUGCUAAAAUCAGCAGUGCAUAAGACUAUUAAAUUAUUGCACAGGGGUUCCUCGUGCCAGUGGAAUGUUUCCUUGGGGUUCCGCUCCAGCAAAACGUUUGAAAAGCACUGAUAUAUAAUCUUGUUUCUCUCUCUCUCCAUAUCCAUUUUUCUCUCUACAUAUGUUUUAUACGCACAAUAAUUUCAUCAACAACAACAUCUUUUUAUAUGAAUAAAAUUGUUUUAUUCCAUUUUAUUUAAUUACAGAAAGGAUGACAAGCCAUCCCAGUGCGACACCAUUGUAUCUUCUAAAACCAUCGACCACCUUUAGUUCCACACCACCCAGUGAAGUGCUGCAACUCUCUGGAAGCCGACCAAAGUUUGUUGAUUUCGACGACAGCAAUACCUACAACAAAAAUGAGAGAAACUGUAUCAAAUAAAAUGAACCAAUCGUA